UACGGAGGGUGCAAACGUUGCUCGGAAUUAUUGGGCGUAAAGCGCACGUAGGCGGUUCGCUAUGUCGGAUGUGAAAGCCCGCGGCUUAACCGCGGAAGGGCAUCCGAAACUGGCGGGCUUGAGUACGGAAGAGGGUCUCGGAAUUCCCGGUGUAGAGGUGAAAUUCGUAGAUAUCGGGAGGAACACCAGUGGCGAAGGCGGAGACCUGGGCCGAUACUGACGCUGAGGUGCGAAAGCGUGGGGAG
rnacentral:rRNA from 1 species